rnacentral:antisense_RNA from 1 species
CUCUAUGGCGAAUCGUGCAGGGAGACCUUCGGGUCUGCCGGGUCCUAGCUCCGGUCUGUCAACCCUGUGCGAUUCGCCACCCUU